AUUUCAGUGGAAUGAGGGGCAUUUUAUUCCUAACUCAUGGACAAGUUAUCAUAAAAUUCAUCUAAAUAUGAAAAGGAUGAAAAUAAUUCGUUAUACAUGGAAAAGGCCACGUGAAAUGACGAAUACACCCCUAAGUGAAACCCUAAAUCCCCAAUUCCUUUUGAAACAUUUCAGACGCCACUUCCAUUCCACGUAUACACAGCUUUCUUCACCUUUCUUCUCCAUCACCUCACCUCUUCUCAGGGAACGAAGACGCCAAAACCUUGUUCUCCCUCACCUUUUCUUCCAUCUCGCUGUUCCACCCAAGAAGAAGCAGCCUUUUGUCCUUGGCCGUUGUUAUCUCUCUGUUUCACUAUGGACGCUGUGACAUUGUGAUCUGGGUGUUUUUCAUGUCCUCUGUUUCAUUCCUUCCCAUUGUGAGUGUAACCAAACUCAUGUUUACGUAGUGAGCUAACGUAUGUGUACGACGUGUUUGAUGAAAUGCCCAUGAGAAAUGUAGUAUUGUGGAUGAAAAUAGCAGUGACGGUAAGUCCUAUAUCUUUGAUAUCCUUGGUUUUCGCUUGAGUUUCUUGCCACCCUAUGAUUGUGGAAUGAGUUUCUAACGCUAUGCUGUUUGGGGCUGCUGCUUUUCCAAAAAUUUUGAUUUGGAAGACAAACAAAAUACUGCACAAUGAGCCUUUUGAUCGCUGUGCAAUUGGUUUUCAAUUUUUAUUUAAAUAGAAAACAAUUUUAGGUGAGUGUGUGACCAAAUGAAUUGGAGCCUAAAAUUACAUGUCAAAACCAUCACUACGCGAAAGCUGGCAACACACUCGAGCAAGCAUGCACUUAGUUUAGGCAUGGUCUAUGUAAAUCAUGUCAAACUUCAUUAAUCAAGAAUAGAAAAUGACAAAUGUUGUCGUUGCAUUCUAUCUUUUCAGCUGCAUUGUGCAGUGGGAGCCUUCCUGUAGGUGAGGGAUCAUAUCAAAUGAGAUGCACGUCACUUUCUGAGAGUAUGGUUGAGAGUCCUCUGGCUCCAUCUGUGAAGGCAUAAACCUGAGGCUACUCAAGGCCCAAAGAUUGGGUGGUGGGUUUUUGAUUUUGUGAUUGAAUUAGUUAAUUAGUUAUGUUGUGGUCUGGCAUAAAUACCAUGGGUGUUUGCUUCUAUAACUUUGAAACCAUGGGUUUAACUUUUGAAGCUUUCUGCCAAGUGUUGGCAGUAAUGCUUUUGUUGCACCCUAAAAAAGUUCAUGAAUUAGAUAGGUGGAAGAAGCUCAAUUGUAGCUUAAGACUAACAUUGCAUGUGCAUCUAGUAGUGGUUCCACCUUAGGUGCAGGACGCCCAGGUUUAAGCCUUUGUUUUUAUAUGUGUAAUAAUGUGUUAUUGUUUAAGAUGAUGAAUUGCUAUAACUUUUGCUUUUUUUUUUUUUUUUUUUUGGUCGGCAACUUUUGCUAUCUUUGUUUUUGCUGGAAUCAUACUUGGGGAAUGUUUGUCUGACAAAUUUAGGCCAUGAUUGUUAGACUGAAGGGUCCAAUAAUGCAUAUUUCAAAAAGAUUUUGUGACUAGGAUAUGUAUACAGGAAACAAAUAUAAAUGUUUUUGCUGCACCCAAAACAAGUACAUGAAUUAGAUAGGUGGAAAAAGCUGAGUUGCAGCUUAGGCACUAGAGUGAAAAUUAGGCUAAUGUGAUAAGAAAUCCUUUUAUUUUACACUUCAAUGGUUAGUUUUGACUAUGGUCAUAUUUGUUCACAAAAAAAAGUUUAACUGAUGUACUAAAAAACUGAAAGAGUGUUUUCAAGUUUGUGUGAUUUUGUGAUUGAAUGUGAGCGUUAUGAUUCUUAUAUGAAACAGAUUGAAGAACAACAUUCGAAUUCUUUACCAAAUUAUAAUGGGGGCUAACGUUAAUAUGGUUCCCUUAUGAUUUCAGAUUCAAAAGUUCAUACCUGCUGUGUGAACAAAGUUUUGAAACUUAAUCUGGUUUUAGCCCGAAGUGUUUUUGUGGAGGUCUACAAGUGAUAUGCUUUAUGUUGACGAAGCUGUUGGAAGUACUAUUGCAUGGCCUCUGACAAGGUUCUUAUGGACUCUAAGCCAGGAUUCAUGGGCUGAUAAAGAAGAUAAGUUCUUUUGUGACUUUUUGCUGAAGAUGUAGAUAUCAUCUAGCUAGUGUGCAGGUUGUCAUGAUCCCUUGGGUGAAGCCUCUUUGUUGAUAUUUUGGUGGCAAGGCUUAGGCUCCACUUUUGGGAUACACAGUUGUUUUGGUUGAAGCCUUUUUGUUGGUAUUUUGUGACAAGGCUUGUACUCGACUUUUGGGAUAAGACGGAUGCUUUGGAAGGAUGGAGUACUCUAAUUUUCUUCUAUGUAAUGCUAGUCACUUUGAUGUUCAGAGAUAGUUGUCGGUUUUGUACGCAAUAUUGUUAAUAUAAUGAAUGAGUAUUC